CUCUCCAUGCUUUCUUUUGUUUGCUUCCUCUCCUUCCCCGCCAAAACCAGAACGAUAAUGGCGACCUUUUCAUCCCCUUCCCUCCCUUCCAUGAUCCUCUGCAAACGAUCUCAAGGUCUCAUUCAUGACUUCCUUGGAGGAGCUCCUCGCCGGCGAUGGCUUCAAGAAGGGCAGGCUCCGGCAGGCUUUGCUACGCUUUAAAGUCGGACAAUCCAAGCCCGAUUUCUUCCCCCGCCGCUCCCGCUCCAACGUCUCCGAUGCCACUCGGAGGCCGGUUGAUCCUGCUAAAUUCCGUAGAAAGAGCUCCAUCCAGCGAGACGCCGGCGAGAUCAAACAAGAGUUCGGUGAUCGGAAGGGUGAUGAAGAGUAUGUGGGUGGAUUUCCGGAUGAAAUCGAAGAAGAAGAAGAAGAAGAGAUGGGGGAGGUCGAGAGGUUUAGGGCCAGAAAGGCUGAGAAGAAUCAAGGGAAACCGAGAUUUCGGGAUGAUAACCCAAGAAGUGAUACGAAUGAAGAUGAUCGCAGCUCUCGUGCAUCAGAACCCUCGCUUGAUGAAGCCGCGAUUGGAGCUCUUGUCUCGAUUUUGAUGGGUAGUCUUCGUCGCUUCUUCAAGGAUGAGAAUUUUCGAGCUUCGCUCCGCCAUACUUGUCUCUCUUGGCUAUACCCAAGGGGAGGGAAUCAGAAGGAUGGUGAUAACGAUAGCAGAGUCAUCGCGAACCUCAGAGAGGCGAUCGGCAUAGUUGAAGGAGCGGUGAAGACGAUGCCUGAUCCAAGGGACUUGAGGAGAGCGUCAUUGAAGCUCAGCGUUCUCGCGGGAUUGAGCUAUGGAGAUCUGAAGAAGGGUUUUACUGGCGGGAUACCGAAUUUGCAUCUCUCUGCUUGCGCGCAUCUCUAUCUGAGCUUGUUUUACAGGCUUCAGAAGAAGAACAAGGCUUCAGGGAGACAUUUGCUUCAAGUGUUCUGCGACGUGCCUUAUCCUGGGAGGACUGUGCUGUUGCUGUCCCUGUGGGAGCGCCUUAUCUUUCCUCACCUUUCUCAUUUGAAAGCAUGGUAUGAAAAGGAGGCUGAGUUGAUACUGAGGACAUCAAGCAGGUUGCAGAAGCUUCAGGCACUGGAGGACGUCUACAACAAUGCAUUGGAUGGUGGCACACAUCGAUUUGCAAUUUACUACAAGGAAUGGCUUAUAGAGGAGAAUGGGGCUAGAGCUCCUCCUUUUCCUUGUGUUGAUGUCCCUGAUAAUCCUUUUGCACGUUGUCCCCCAGAGCCUUCAAAUAUGGUUGGCUUCAAAGGGGCUAGUUCUAGCAAAAGAUUAGAUUUGUAUUUGGAGGAGGUGGAGGAGGAGGAGGAAGAGGUUGCGGAAGAGCGAUUCAAUGUUCUCUUGAGAAGCUCUGAUCAAGGCCAUGAUGAGGAAGAUGAGGGCGCUUGGAGUAGUUCUCCUAAGUCUAAUGAACAUAUCAAAGAAGAUCAGCGUAAGAACCAUCACCAGGCAAAUGCACCUUCUGAUGCACGGGAAUGCGUGGAUGAGGGAUCUCAUAUGUUAAACAGACUGAAUAUCCAUGAGCCAGACACUUGCGUUGCUAGUAUUGUUCCUAAUGCAAAAGAAAAUGUAACUGCUUUGGAAAAAUUUGCACAGGAUGCCUUUCAGGAUCAGGUUUUUGAUUAUUCCAAUGAGUUGACAAGUAUGAGAACAAAAACCAAACCUGACAGAAAUGGGAUGAUACCAACAAAUUCUCAGAUGGCCUCAUCUCUGCUACGAUCAAGUGCAGAGCCAUCUGGAAUUUUUGAAGACAUGGAUCAGGGUUCUGUGUUCUCUGGUAUUCCGAAUGAUUUUGUUUGCCUUUUGACUGGUCAUUUGUUCAAAGAUCCUGUUACCCUGGAGACAGGCCAGACUUUUGAGAGAGCAGCAAUUAAGAAAUGGUUUAAACAAGGCAAAAGGGCAUGCCCAGUUACUGGCCGAGGACUUAAAUCGUUGUCGAUACCAGUGACUGAUUUUGUGUUGAAACGUGUUAUGGACGAAUGGAGAUUGGAACAAUGCCGAAUCCUCUUGGUUUAUGCCACCCAAAUAUCAGGGAGUGUGGUAAAAGGUUACAAAUCCAAAGAUGAGUUGGCUUGCCUCAUAACAGAGAAGAUUGUAUCUGGAUUUAACACAGAUGAACAGAUGGAAAAUGCGAGACAUUUUAUUUCUCUUGGAGGUCUACAUUUUCUUACUUGGAGACUUGAAAUGGGGAAUCUUGAGGAAAAAAUGCAUGUUGUUUCCCUUAUGCUGUGCUGCAUCAAGGCAGAUGACAGUUGCAGGAGCUUUUUAGCUAUAAAUAUAGAAGGACCAUGGAUCCUUGACCUUCUGUACAGUAAAAUACUUGAUGCAAGGACCAAUGCGGUGCUACUGAUGAUUGAACUGAUUUGUUUGAACAGCAGGUUAGGAAUUGCCUCAUUCUUGCGCAGUUUGAUCACGGAGACCAUUGUGAACACAAUGCAUGUUCUUCUUGUGUACCUUCAGACUUCGCCACCUGAAGAAAGAGCCUUGGUUGCAGUUUUGCUUCUACAUUUAGAUCUUAUGGUUGAACCUCUAAAAUACAGUAUUUAUAAAGAAGAGGCCAUUGAUGGCAUCAUUGUUGCUCUUGAGCACAGUUUAUAUGAUGGGGAAGUCAUAAAAAAUGCCGUUAAAGCUCUUCUCAUGUUAGGAGGACAUUUUUCUUCUUCUGGAAAGAUAGUGGUCGAGACAUGGUUGCUGAAACAAGCAGGAUUUAUUGCCCAUUCUAGCAUCACCUCUAUUGCUUAUGAUGGGGAAGCUGAAGAAAAUAUAACAAAGGAAGAAGAAAAGGAACGUGAAGAGUGGUCUAAUAAACUGGCUCUUGUCCUUCUAUGCAAUGGAAAACAACCAUUCCUGGGGGCCUUGUUCAGGUGUUUAUCUUCCAAGGUUUCUGAAAUAGUAAAGGCUUGCCUGAUAACAGUUGCUUGGCUUAGCAAUUCACUUCCAUCAUUGUCUACUGCUGGAUUCCAGCUCUCUAACUUCACAACUCUAAUUCCUAUUCUCAAAGAAAUCAUGAUCAAAGAUAACCGGAUUGAGAACCAGGUCCUUGCAUCUUUAUCGCUUCUUAAUUUGAGCACAAUUUAUGGUGAGUACUUUGUCCCAUUUCAAUAUAUUCCUCCAUCCUUUUCUCCUUAAUUUUUAAUAAUAAAAAAUUUCAAAUUUUUUUUUUCUUGGGUGUAGAAUGCAGAGACCUACUGAAGACAUUUGCAAAAGAGCUGUUUGUUCCUCUACAAAACCUUGGAGAGGUCUGCUUGUGAUCAUCAUUCACACAGUCCAAAUACAAAAGAGAAG